GACGAACGCUGGCGGCGUGCCUAAUACAUGCAAGUCGAGCGAAGUUUUUCUGGUGCUUGCACCGGAAAAACUUAGCGGCGAACGGGUGAGUAACACGUAAAGAACCUGCCUUAUAGACUGGGACAACUAUUGGAAACGAUAGCUAAUACCGGAUAACAGCAUUAACUGCAUGGUUGAUGUUUGAAAGUUGGUUUUGCUAACACUAUGAGAUGGCUUUGCGGUGCAUUAGCUAGUUGGUGGGGUAAAGGCCUACCAAGGCGACGAUGCAUAGCCGACCUGAGAGGGUGAUCGGCCACACUGGGACUGAGACACGGCCCAGACUCCUACGGGAGGCAGCAGUAGGGAAUCUUCCGCAAUGGGCGAAAGCCUGACGGAGCAACGCCGCGUGAGUGAAGAAGGAUUUCGGUUCGUAAAGCUCUGUUGUUAGGGAAGAAUGAUUGUGUAGUAACUAUACACAGUAGAGACGGUACCUAACCAGAAAGCCACGGCUAACUACGUG
rnacentral:rRNA from 1 species